GGACCCGUGGCUUAAUUGGAUAUAGCACCUGACUACGGAUCAGGAGGUUGGGGGUUCGAAUCCCUCCGGGUCCA
rnacentral:tRNA from 1 species